rnacentral:rRNA from 1 species
GACGAACGCUGGCGGCGUGCCUAAUACAUGCAAGUAGAACGCUGAAGAGAGGAGCUUGCUCUUCUUGGAUGAGUUGCGAACGGGUGAGUAACGCGUAGGUAACCUGCCUUGUAGCGGGGGAUAACUAUUGGAAACGAUAGCUAAUACCGCAUAACAAUGGAUGACACAUGUCAUUUAUUUGAAAGGGGCAAUUGCUCCACUACAAGAUGGACCUGCGUUGUAUUAGCUAGUAGGUGAGGUAAUGGCUCACCUAGGCGACGAUACAUAGCCGACCUGAGAGGGUGAUCGGCCACACUGGGACUGUGACACGGCCCAGACUCCUACAGGAGGCAGCAGUAGGGAAUCUUCGGCAAUGGGGGCAACCCUGACCGGGCAACGCCGCGUGAGUGAAGAAGGGUUUCGGAUCGUAAAGCUCUGUUGUAAGUCAAGAACGGGUGUGAGAGUGGAAAGUUCACACUGUGACGGUAGCUUACCAGAAAGGGACGGCUAACUACGUG